GAAUGACUUCAUCUUCUGUGGGUUUGGCCAUGGAAGAAGUUAAAUUCUCUCAGUGAUUUUGUGAACUUGGCUUUCUUUAUGAUUCCUGUCUAUCUUUCCCCCAAAGGCUAGUUACUGAGCAAAUUCCUGUGAGAGCCCCCGAUGACUGUAAAAACCACCCCCUGAUAUGUAUAAUGUUCCAGACUGCAACAUGCUCAUGAAGGGAUCCAGGAAAAGACCACAUGUUGCUAAAGGGUGUCAAAAUUAAAACCAAACCAAACAAAAAUCCAGGAACUCAAGAAAAAGCAAAAACACACAAACAAAACUGUUUCCUAUCUUUGUCAUCUUUGUCCCUUUGUCUCUGACUUGACUCCUAAAAGCUAACCUAUAGCAUGAUGAGAGCAAGCCUAGUUCAUGUGGCCUGUGACCAAUUGUGUGGAGUGCUUCAAUGUGCUUUCUUCCGGUGGGAAAAUCUCCAGAAAAAGGUCACAAACACAGAGCUGACCUGAGUCCUGCCUGGAUCAUACAUUUGGAGAAUAAAGAAAUUCACUCUGUGGUGGCCAUGGAGAAUAUGGCUGCCUCAUUUCUCAGUUGGAUGGCCAAGAGCUGCUGCCCUACGUCCAGGUCUUCAGGAGAGCUGUGCAAGGUCACCAGAAAGAAACCUUAGCUGACCUCAUUGGCUUGAAGAUGAAGGAAGCGGCACACCAAUAGGAUUGCAAUCUCUAAGCUAUCAUCACUAAGAGUGUUGAUGUGUUGUAACACCAAGAGAGAAUGGGGCCGAGAUACAGACAUCGGGAGACUCAUCUAAUAAGGGCUGUGCUAGAACUGCCUUUGUCUUUCUGUGAAAUGACUCACACUUAGGAUAUCAGGAAAAGUUCUUCUGAAGGCAGAAAUAUAGUACACCUCUGAAGAAGAAAAGACUACACCACAACUUUCAUUGCACACUGAAAGAAAGCCCAUCAAACACUCGAGAUAAAAUUAUAAUAUGUGAACAGAGAUCUUCAUCUCCUAUCCCAGAAAAACCAGAUAGCUCCUACCAUGGAGGCCACUGAUGUAAAUGACCUUAACCAAGGAAUCUAAAAGGCCACUUGUCCCCAAUACAACUGAAAGCCUUAGAGGUGCUGGUCUUCUGCAAUGAUCCAGACUUGAUCGUAUUUCCUCCCAUUUGAUAUCUCCAGGAUUUGGGCCUUGGGGAGUUCUAUGUCCUGCCUCCCAGACCCAUGUGUUUUAUGCUCUCCUCUUUAAAAUGAAGAUAGAUGACCUCUCCACCAAAUCAUGCUCUGAUAAAAUGGAGACCAACAGGUACUAAGACGUAUUAGUAUUUUGAUGAGACGUCUUACUAGGAUGUUAACAAAUAGAUUAAAGGUAUUUUGGACAAGAAAUGUGCAUCUCUGAAACAGGUUUUGUGAUAACAACACAUAUUCUAAGCACUUGCCUUCUGUGGGGUCAGGAGGACCCACCCGCUCAUAUUCUAAAUGAGGAGCAUAUCCACUACAGGAUAUCUAAAUAGAGACCCAAGAUUAUGGUGCUUUCUAAGGCAAAGCAGUGAGGAAAAACAUCCCAACUAAAAAGGCAGUUUACCCUGUAAACAGUAAUUUUCAAUUGACAUUUGACUUCAGAUAAGUUGAAACAUCUGAGCCCAAAUCCCACACCAAAUUAAAACACACAUAUAAACCACCCCCUUGGGGCUGUGACCCUUUCAGAGAUGGAGUGCUCGCACCAGCAUUCUUUGAAACAACCCAGGGAGC
rnacentral:lncRNA from 1 species